rnacentral:rRNA from 1 species
GAUGAACGCUGGCGGCGUGCCUAAUACAUGCAAGUCGAGCGAACAGACGAGGAGCUUGCUCCUCUGACGUUAGCGGCGGACGGGUGAGUAACACGUGGAUAACCUACCUAUAAGACUGGGAUAACUUCGGGAAACCGGAGCUAAUACCGGAGAAUAUAUUGAACCGCAUGGUGCAAUAGUGAAAGACGGUUUUGCUGUCACUUAGAGAUGGAUCCGCGCCGCAUUAGCUAGUUGGUAAGGUAACGGCUUACCAAGGCGACGAUGCGUAGCCGACCUGAGAGGGUGAUCGGCCACACUGGAACUGAGACACGGUCCAGACUCCUACGGGAGGCAGCAGUAGGGAAUCUUCCGCAAUGGGCGCAAGCCUGACGCAGCAACGCCGCGUGAGUGAUGAAGGUCUUCGGAUCGUAAAACUCUGUUAUUAGGGAAGAACAACUGUGUAAGUAACUAUGCCCGUCUUGACGGUACCUAAUCAGAAAGCCACGGCUAACUACGUG